CCUACGGGAGACUGCAGUAGGGAAUUUUUGACAAUGGGCGCAAGCCUGAACGAGCAAUGCCGCGUGAGCGAGGGAGGUCUUCGGAUCGUAAAGUUCUGUUGAAGGGGAAAAAGAGCGGAGAGAGGAAAUGCUAUCUGAUUGAUAUUACCCUUCGAGGAAGUCCCGGCUAACUACGUGCCAGCAGCCGCGGUAAUACGGGGGUGGCGAGCGUUAUCCGGAAUGAUGGGGCGUAAGGGGUGCGUAGGCGGCCUGCUAAGUCUGGAGGAAAAGGUACCGGCUCAACCGGUACAGGCUCUGGAAACUGGCGGGCUAGAGAGCAGGAGAGGGCAGUGGAACUCCAGGUGUAGCAGUAAAAUGCGUAGAUAUAUGGAGGAACACUAGUGGCGAAGGCGGCCGCCUGGCCUGUUACUGACGCUGAGGCACGAAGGCGUGGGGAGCAAAUAGGAUUAGAUACCCUUGUAGUC
rnacentral:rRNA from 1 species